GGUCAAGUUAUUAAGGGUGCAGGGCGGAUGCCUUGGCACUAGGAGCCGAUGAAGGACGUGAUAAGCUGCGAUAAGCUUCGGGGAGUUGCACGUAAACUUUGAUCCGAAGAUUUCCGAAUGAGGAAACUCACUUAGAGUAAUGUCUAAGUAUCAUUAAGUGAAUACAUAGCUUAAUGAGGGGAACUCAGGGAACUGAAACAUCUAAGUACCUGAAGGAAGAGAAAGAAAUUCGAUUCCGUAAGUAGCGGCGAGCGAACGCGGAUUAGCCCAAACCAAUAAAGUUUUCUUUAUUGGGGUUGCGGACAUAUCAUAACGAAGAGGUAUCGUAAUUGAAGAGGUUUGGAAAGACCCACCACAGAAGGUAAUAGUCCUGUAUGUUAAACGAGAAGACUUUAGAUAUGAUCCAGAGUACCACGGGACACGUGAAACCCUGUGGGAAGCAGGAGGGACCACCCUCCAAGGCUAAAUACUACCUAGUGACCGAUAGCGUAUAGUACCGUGAGGGAAAGGUGAAAAGAACCCCGGGAGGGGAGUGAAAUAGAACCUGAAACCCUGCACUUACAAGCUGUGGAAGCACAUUUCUUGUGUGACCGCGUACUUUUUGUAGAACGGGCCAACGAGUUACGUUAAGUAGCAAGGUUAAGCACUUAAGGUGCGGAGCCGUAGCGAAAGCGAGUUUUAACUGAGCGUUCAGUUACUUGACGUAGACCCGAAACCGGGCGACCUACCCAUGAGCAGGAUGAAGCGAAAGUAAAAUUUCGUGGAGGUCCGAACCCACGAGCGUUGAAAAGCUCGGGGAUGACUUGUGGGUAGCGGUGAAAUUCCAAUCGAGCCCGGAGAUAGCUGGUUCUCCCCGAAAUAGCUUUAGGGCUAGCCUCAAGGUGAGAGAUACGGAGGUAGAGCACUGAAUGUCCUAGGGGGUAUUGCACCUACCGAAGACUAUCAAACUCCGAAUGCCGUCAUCUUAUACUUGGGAGUCAGACUGUGGGUGAUAAGAUUCAUAGUCGAAAGGGCAACAGCCCAGAUCGUCAGCUAAGGUCCCUAAAUGUAAGUUAAGUGGUAAAGGAUGUGGGAUUGCACAGACAACCAGGAUGUUGGCUUAGAAGCAGCCACUCAUUCAAAGAGUGCGUAAUAGCUCACUGGUCGAGUGAUCCUGCGCCGAAGAUUUCCGGGGCUAAAACUUACUACCGAAGCUACGGCAUCAGUAAUGAUGGGUAGGGGAGCUUCCCAUACGGGUUGAAGCAUGACCGUAAGGACAUGUGGACAGUAUGGGAGUGAGAAUGUUGGCAUGAGUAGCGAGAUGUGGGUGAGAAUCCCACAGGCCGUAAACCCAAGGUUUCCAGGGGAAGGUUCGUCCGCCCUGGGUUAGUCGGGACCUAAGCUGAGGCCGAAAGGCGUAGGUGAUGGACAACAGGUUGAUAUUCCUGUACUACCGAUAACCGUUUGAGAGAAGGGAUGACACAGUAGGAUAAGCUAAGCACACUGUUGGUUAUGUGUGCCCAAGCAUUGAGGCAGUCAAAGUAGGUAAAUCCGCUUUGAUAAUGCUGGGAUGUGAUGGGGAGCGAAAUUUAGUAGCGAAGUAGCUGAUUUCACACUGUCAAGAAAAGUCUCUAUCGAGGUUAAAGGUACCCGUACCGCAAACCGACACAGGUGGGUGAGGAGAGUAUCCUAAGGCCAGCGAGAGAACUGUUGUUAAGGAACUCGGCAAAAUGACCCCGUAACUUAGGGAUAAGGGGUGCCACCAUCAGGUGGCCGCAGAGAAUAGGCCCAAGCGACUGUUUACCAAAAACAUAGGUUUCUGCUAAGUCGCAAGACGAUGUAUAGGAGCUGACGCCUGCCCGGUGCUGGAAGGUUAAGGGGAUCUGUUAGAGCAAUCGAAGCAGUGAACUUAAGCCCCAGUAAACGGCGGCCGUAACUAUAACGGUCCUAAGGUAGCGAAAUUCCUUGUCGGGUAAGUUCCGACCCGCACGAAAGGCGUAACGAUUUGGGCACUGUCUCAACAACAGACUCGGUGAAAUUGUAAUUCCGGUGAAGAUGCCGGAUACCUGCGACAGGACGGAAAGACCCCAUGGAGCUUUACUGUAGCUUGACAUUGGGUCUUGGUACUACAUGUACAGGAUAGGUGGGAGGCUUUGAAACCAGGACGCCAGUUUUGGCGGAGCCAUCCUUGGGAUACCACCCUUGUAGUACUGGGACUCUAACCAUAGGCCAUGAAUCUGGUCUUGGGACACUGUCAGGUGGGCAGUUUGACUGGGGCGGUCGCCUCCCAAAAGGUAACGGAGGCGCUCAAAGGUUCUCUCAGUACGGUCGGAAAUCGUACGUAGAGUGUAAAGGCAAAAGAGAGCUUGAUUGCAAGACAUACAGGUCGAGCAAGGAUGAAAAUCGGACUUAGUGAUCCGGUGGUUCUGCGUGGAAGGGCCAUCGCUCAACGGAUAAAAGCUACCCUGGGGAUAACAGGCUUAUCUCCCCCAAGAGUCCACAUCGACGGGGAGGUUUGGCACCUCGAUGUCGGCUCAUCACAUCCUGGGGCUGUAGUAGGUCCCAAGGGUUGGGCUGUUCGCCCAUUAAAGUGGUACGCGAGCUGGGUUCAGAACGUCGUGAGACAGUUCGGUCCCUAUCCGUCGCAGGCGUAGGAAAUUUGAGAAGACCUGUCCUUAGUACGAGAGGACCGGGAUGGACGUACCUCUGGUGUACCAGUUGUCCUGCCAAGGGCAUGGCUGGGUAGCUAUGUACGGAAUGGAUAAGCGCUGAAAGCAUCUAAGCGCGAAGCCAACUUCAAGAUAAGAUUUCCCACCGCAAGGGUAAGACCCCAGAAAGACUAUCUGGUUGAUAGGUCGAAGGUGUAAGUGCAGCAAUGUAUUUAGCUUAUCGAUACUAAUAGGUCGAGGACUUGACCAA
rnacentral:rRNA from 1 species